GGUUCCUGUCUGAAGGACUGAAGGAUGCACCACUCUGAACCCGUCUUUCAUCACCUCCUCUGUGUACAUUUUUACAUCGUGUCUGAGUUCUGUCUUGGAAGAUUAAAAUUGAACUCUUGAAAUAUUCUGA